rnacentral:rRNA from 1 species
GACGAACGCUGGCGGCGUGCCUAAUACAUGCAAGUCGAACGAGAAUUUUUUACACCGAGUGCUUGCACUCACCGUAAGAAAUUCGAGUGGCGGACGGGUGAGUAACGCGUGGGUAACCUGCCCAAAAGAAGGGGAUAACAUUUGGAAACAAAUGCUAAUACCGUAUAACCAUGAUGACCGCUUGGUCAUUAUGUAAAAGGUGGUUUUGCUAUCGCUUUUGGAUGGACCCGCGGCGUAUUAACUAGUUGGUAGGGUAACGGCCUACCAAGGUGAUGAUACGUAGCCGAGUUGAGAGACUGAUCGGCCACAAUGGGACUGAGACACGGCCCAUACUCCUACGGGAGGCAGCAGUAGGGAAUCUUCCACAAUGGGCGCAAGCCUGAUGGAGCAACGCCGCGUGAAUGAAGAAGGUCUUCGGAUCGUAAAAUUCUGUUGUUAGAGAAGAAUAUGAGUAAUAGUAACUGAUUAUUCACUGACGGUAUCUAACCAGCAAGUCACGGCUAACUACGUGCCAGCAGCCGCGGUAA